AACCAUUCUCACCUGCGGCUAGACCUGCGGAAGGAUCAUUAUUGAAUAAACUUGGUGGGCUGUAGCUGGCUCUUUGGAGCAUGUGCACGCCUGUCAUAUUUAUCCAUCCACCUGUGCACCUUUUGUAGUCUUGGGGUAGAUAGUGGCUGACUCUCGACCUUGUCGGAUGUGAGAAUUGCUGGUUAGCUUUUCUUAAGAAGCCCUAACUUCUCUCAGGUCUAUGUCUUUUCAUAAACCACA
rnacentral:misc_RNA from 1 species